GACAGAGGGUGCAAACGUUGUUCGGAAUUACUGGGCGUAAAGCGCGUGUAGGCGGCUGCGCAAGUCGGAUGUGAAAUCCCAUGGCUCAACCAUGGAAGUGCACCCGAAACUGCGUAGCUAGAGUCUCGGAGAGGAAGGCGGAAUGCUUGGUGUAGAGGUGAAAUUCGUAGAUAUCAAGCAGAACACCGGUGGCGAAGGCGGCCUCUGGACGAUGACUGACGCUGAGACGCGAAAAGCGUGGGGAGCAAACAGG
rnacentral:rRNA from 1 species